UGAGUUGUGGCUCAGAGGUAGAGUGCUCACCUAGCAUGCAUGGGACUGGGUUCGAUCCUCAGCACCACAU
rnacentral:tRNA from 1 species